UUAUUUUUUGUCAUUUCUACGUAAUUAAAAUUUUUUUAUUUUUUUAUAGCAUGGAAUUUUAGUGGACUUUAACGAAGUCAUCCACACAUCUUCAGCACCUAAAGUUACAAAUGCCUUUCAAUUCCAAAGCUCCAAAAAUGAAUGUCCUAUUCUUACAUGUGAUACUGAAGUUGAAGAUGUUGCGUUUGACAUUAUUGUUACACAGUUUAAA